AGAGUUUGAUCCUGGCUCAGAUUGAACGCUGGCGGCAGGCCUAACACAUGCAAGUCGAGCGGUAGCACAGAGAGCUUGCUCUCGGGUGACGAGCGGCGGACGGGUGAGUAAUGUCUGGGAAACUGCCUGAUGGAGGGGGAUAACUACUGGAAACGGUAGCUAAUACCGCAUAAUGUCGCAAGACCAAAGUGGGGGACCUUCGGGCCUCAUGCCAUCAGAUGUGCCCAGAUGGGAUUAGCUAGUAGGUGGGGUAACGGCUCACCUAGGCGACGAUCCCUAGCUGGUCUGAGAGGAUGACCAGCCACACUGGAACUGAGACACGGUCCAGACUCCUACGGGAGGCAGCAGUGGGGAAUAUUGCACAAUGGGCGCAAGCCUGAUGCAGCCAUGCCGCGUGUGUGAAGAAGGCCUUCGGGUUGUAAAGCACUUUCAGCGGGGAGGAAGGCGUUAAGGUUAAUAACCUUGGCGAUUGACGUUACCCGCAGAAGAAGCGCCGGCUAACUCCGUGCCAGCAGCCGCGGUAAUACGGAGGGUGCAAGCGUUAAUCGGAAUUACUGGGCGUAAAGCGCACGCAGGCGGUCUGUCAAGUCGGAUGUGAAAUCCCCGGGCUCAACCUGGGAACUGCAUUCGAAACUGGCACGCUAGAGUCUUGUAGAGGGGGGUAGACUUCCAGGUGUAGCGGUGAAAUGCGUAGAGAUCUGGAGGAAUACCGGUGGCGAAGGCGGCCCCCUGGACAAAGACUGACGCUCAGGUGCGAAAGCGUGGGGAGCAAACAGGAUUAGAUACCCUGGUAGUCCACGCUGUAAACGAUGUCGACUUGGAGGUUGUGCCCUUGAGGCGUGGCUUCCGGAGCUAACGCGUUAAGUCGACCGCCUGGGGAGUACGGCCGCAAGGUUAAAACUCAAAUGAAUUGACGGGGGCCCGCACAAGCGGUGGAGCAUGUGGUUUAAUUCGAUGCAACGCGAAGAACCUUACCUGGUCUUGACAUCCACGGAAGUUUUCAGAGAUGAGAAUGUGCCUUCGGGAACCGUGAGACAGGUGCUGCAUGGCUGUCGUCAGCUCGUGUUGUGAAAUGUUGGGUUAAGUCCCGCAACGAGCGCAACCCUUAUCCUUUGUUGCCAGCGGUUAGGCCGGGAACUCAAAGGAGACUGCCAGUGAUAAACUGGAGGAAGGUGGGGAUGACGUCAAGUCAUCAUGGCCCUUACGACCAGGGCUACACACGUGCUACAAUGGCAUAUACAAAGAGAAGCGACCUCGCGAGAGCAAGCGGACCUCAUAAAGUAUGUCGUAGUCCGGAUUGGAGUCUGCAACUCGACUCCAUGAAGUCGGAAUCGCUAGUAAUCGUAGAUCAGAAUGCUACGGUGAAUACGUUCCCGGGCCUUGUACACACCGCCCGUCACACCAUGGGAGUGGGUUGCAAAAGAAGUAGGUAGCUUAACCUUCGGGAGGGCGCUUACCACUUUGUGAUUCAUGACUGGGGUGAAGUCGUAACAAGGUAACC
rnacentral:rRNA from 1 species